GUCGAGCGCGUCCACAAUACAGAAACGGCAGACGGGAGAGUUCACGUGGGAAGAAAACCUUCGGUUCGGAAUAACCCAGGGAAACUUGGACUAAUACCGUACCCGUCCGAAAGGAGAAAGAUUUAUCGCCGAAGGAUCGGCCCGCGGCUGAUUAGCUAGUUGGUGAGGUAACGGCUCACCAAGGCGACGAUCGGUAGCUGGUCUGAGAGGAUGAUCAGCCUCACUGGGACUGAGACACGGCCCAGACUCCUACGGGAGGCAGCAGUGGG
rnacentral:rRNA from 1 species